GAGCCGUGUGAUGAACACAGAGCGAACUAUUCUUUCACCUUUUACUAAAGAAUACCGUGUGUUCCGGCAUACGCCUAUUUUUGGAAGAGCCCUUGAUUAUUGGAGGGCU
rnacentral:snRNA from 1 species